UACGGAGGGAGCUAGCGUUGUUCGGAUAUACUGGGCGUAAAGCGCACGUAGGCGGCGCCGUAAGUCGGGCGUGAAAUGCCGGGGCUCAACCCCGGGACUGCGUCCGAUACUUCCGAGCUGGAGGUAGGUAGGGGAGAUCGGAAUUCCUGGUGUAGCGGUGAAAUGCGCAGAUAUCAGGAGGAACACCGGUGGCGAAGGCGGAUCUCUGGGCCUUACCUGACGCUGAGGCGCGAAAGCUAGGGGAGCGAACAGG
rnacentral:rRNA from 1 species